rnacentral:lncRNA from 1 species
AAAAAAUAAAAAAUGAAUAGAAAAGAACAGACAAUGGCAGAAAGCAGUAGAGAGUCUCUCAACUUCACCGUCGUUCAUUUAGAGGAAAGGUUAUGGACCUGCUGUCUUUUUGGAAACACUAUUCUUAAAUUUAUGUAGAUCAUGCUGUCUGUGCUGGAGAUUUUCAGACACUCAUUGAAACAUACAGUUAGAUUAUUUUCAUUAUUUAGCCACAACAAAUUCUUCUUCAUGUUCCCUACGCCUGUCUCAAACCUGUUCAACAGAUGCAUGCUUAGACAACUUCUCUGUUCAUUACAUGUACAGAGGGCUAUUUCUUCAGUGUUGCUUGUCUUUGCUCAAAGUGUGUUGCUUCAAAGUGUACAACUUUUACUGCGAUUGACUCAAUUUCUAAUUUCUUAUUUUCUGUGCAGGCUGAGAAGUUACACACGCCGAGGCUGCCUUAUCCCUUUACUUCCCAAGAAGUUUUUGAGCAGAGCAUUCGGAUGCCCAUUGGACCUGAA